GAUGAACGCUGGCGGCGUGCUUAACACAUGCAAGUCGAACGAUAAGGCCCAGCUUGCUGGGUGUAUUCGUGGCGAACGGGUGAGUAACACGCGAGUAACCUGCCCCUAACUCUUUGGUAAGCCUGGGAAACUGUGUCGCAUACCGGAUAGGAGCGUCCCUCGCAUGUUGGGUGUUGGGAAGAUUUAUCGGGUUUGGAUGGACUCGCGGCCUAUCAGCUUGUUGGUGGGGGAGUGGCUCACCAAGGCGAGGACGGGUAGCCGGCCUGAGAGGGUGACCGGCCACACUGGGACUGAGACACGGCCCAGACUCCUACGGGAGGCAGCAGUGGGGAAUAUUGCACAAUGGGCGGAAGCCUGAUGCAGCGACGCCGCGUGAGGGAUGACGGCCUUCGGGUUGUAAACCGCUUUCAGUUGUGAAGAAGCGAAAGUGACGGUAACUGCUGAAGAAGCACCGGCUAACUACGUG
rnacentral:rRNA from 1 species